CAGCUCUUAAAUAGGAUUGAAGUAAUGUAAGUAUCCAGUUGCAGGAAUAAAAAACUUCAUCUAGGAAGAAUGGCAACAUCGUACUCCUUAACACACUGUGGAGGGAGGCAGGAAAGCACUCUCUUACUCGACUUCUGAAACUAAUGAAGGAAAAUGCCUACAAAUUCCAGAAAAAGGAUGAAAAACACUUCAGGCCUGGCAGAUUAUGAUUAUUAACACAUUAGCUUUUCCCAGGUUACACUGAACCCUGUUUCUGGAGCUUGCUGUGCAUGUUUGCUUGUUGUUCUCCCCCAUCGUUGUCUGGAUAGAGAAGCUGAAGACUGAAGCAGAAAUUUCCAGUGCUUGGGUAUACGAAAUCUGCCUUCUGGGGGAAGAGCAUCACCUGAAGAAUUUGACUAAACACAUUAGGUGGGAAGCAUAAUAAUCGCCCCAUGAACAAUCAGAAAAUGAAGCUUCAUGAAUGACACGCUAAGAAAGCCAGGCUUGUUCCAGAUCUGCGAAAGGAGACGGGCAAAACUCAGGAGCUGGACUGACCACUGCAGUGAUGAUCAUGUGCCUUCAAGAUUCAAGCAGGUCAAGAUGUGAAAGGAUAACCUUUGGAGACAAGCUAGCAGUCACUCAACCAUGGAUAGGUGGGACUUUCAAAUAUGCCAGGGCAGCCAGCUAAUGAAAGGCACAUACUGCAGAAUUCUAGUCCUGAUGCAAAACAAUGUGGAAUAAAUUAAUGUUGCCCUUUUGCAUUUACUGUGAAAAGCUGUACACCCCCUCAGCACCUCAAGCUGGUGACAGCGUAAUCCUCAAUUCACAUAUUGUAAAUUUAGAAAAGAUUGGAAUGUGCAACUGAUCAUACCUAGGAUGUUUACACAUGCUGUUUGAUCCCAAAAUACUGGCUUAUGUCAUUAAUGGCUUGUGUCAUGCUCCUUUCUAGCUUCAGAAAUGGCAAAUGUUUACCAUUUUAACUACAUUAGCUAACUGCUUAAAGAAAAGCAAAAAGGAAGCAAAGAAAGCAUAAUGGCAACAGUAAAAAAUGAAUGUUAAAUUACUCUGAGGAACAACUGUGCUUUAAAAAAAAAUCUUUGAUGUUACUUUCAGCUCUUGAGAUAACCAAAACAUGCAUAUUAAUAACCCAACUUAUCUUUCCAUGCCUUCACUAUUACACACUUCAAUUCAUAUCAUGGCGUAACUGGUCUGUUUCCAGUCAUCCUCACUUCUAGUUCUCAUCCUUCAUGACCCCAGAAACACAAGAGAAUUUACAGUAAUUGCUUAUUUAUUUGUUUAUCCCACCCCUUUCUAAUGCAUCUGUGCGUAUAUUGGGAACUUUUUCCUCUCAUCUGCGAAGUUGUGGAUAAUAACUAGUAACCCUUUACUAUUAGUGAAUAUAGCCAUAACUAAUAUAUUUAGUACAGAUUUUACUUCAGUGUUUUUUAAUUUUUAAGCAUAUUAGAUUAGAAAUAAUAUCCAGCCCUUAAAAAGCUUAAUUUUUCAAGCCUUUAAAUACUAAUUCUUCUUUAUGUGCAUGAAAUUCUAUGGAGAUAUAUAUAGCUGGAGGCAAAGUCUAAACCUUAAUGGUUUCUUUCCCCAUGGAAAAACACUGAUUUUUUUCAAAACUGCCGAGUACCAUUUGAUAGCGAUGAAUACUACUGACGCUCAAGGACAAACUGAACAUAAUUUAGAAUGCAAAGUAGGGCGGUUUUGAAUUUUAUAUGAAGACAACUGAUUUCUAAAAGUAUGCCUAAGUAGUUCAGUACGAAACACUGCACAUCUUAUGUGCCUAUAACUGAUAUUUAGCUAUGGUGAUUUUAUCAUCUUGUAGAGUUGGGACCUUAUUAACCAAGCAAAAUAUUAAUUUCAUCGUAAAAGUUCCGCAUCAAUUUUGCUGCAAGUUGUUUUAGUAUCAAACCAAAUCCUUCUUCACUUAGAGACGCACUUGAUUAUUGAUAGUUCUUGUACACUGCUACUGAUACUGAACACCAGCAGGGACAAAGCUGAGCAUUUAAAGCAUUUGGGUUUCAAAACAAGAAAGAAGAGUGGGUAGCUAUCAAGAAAACCUUGUAUUUCCUUAAGAAGUACAGCCCAUGGGGGUUUUGUGCUUGGCAUGCUCUCUCCAACACAAAAUCAGAUUUCUUUUUUAUUAUUAUUUUUUGAUGAAAAUUUUCUCAGAUCCACAUAUUGGAAACAUCUGGCAACCGAUGGAGUUAUCAUACCUAAGUUCUGCUUUGGUGUCCUGAGAGCCCAGCGUGUGAUGGACAAUGGGAAAAGAUAAACAUCACUGAAAGUAGCCAGGGAUGAGAGACCUAUCCCUGUCAGGAAGUGUGGUCUGGACUAAAAUGCUCACACACACUGAUCUGGUCUACGGCAAACAGAUUCCUGGGACCUCUCACUGGCAGAAGAUGUUCUGCAGGACGGAGUUUUUGACAGGCCACUUGUCCAAGGCCCAUCUGCUGGCGUGACCUGCCCAGGUGCUCUGACUCCGGGAAGGUGCAAAGCUGGUGCAGUGCGAACACCAGAGCUGCACUGCCUCCCGACGGACCCAGGGAGAGCUCCUUCCCCCUUGUCUGCUGACAAAUUGCACAGCUGUGGUGUUACAUGUCAGCACUUGCACUGCGGAUCUCCAGAGACAAACCAGGAAUGUUCUGCAUGCCAGACAGUGGCGCUGAGCCAUUACAUUGAGACAACCUUCUUGAGGGAACUGUGGGCCCUGAGUGAACAAGAGUGGGGAAUCCACUGACGUUCUGACCUGCAGCUGUGUAACAAGAGGCAGCCUACUGCAGCGAGGCCAGCUCUACAGCUGAAAGAGAAGAUGUCUUGCAAAAGCGUGCUAAAUCCAUGCACCAUUUGCUGCAUAGGUACUACACUGAUUUGAAACAAGUCGCAUGGCAUUUAGAUAAGGUAGGUGAGACUAUAUGUCCCUGAAGUCUGAGGUAUGCUUUCAUCAACAUUUGUGGUGAGCGUGAAAUUAUUUGAUGAAGUUCAUCACCAUCUGGAAUGCUUCCAGUGGAAAACAUGGUCUUGCUGACCUGGAAUUUAACUCAGAUCCUGCAACCUAUAUAUUCAGAGUAAGAGUCAGACAAAUUCACAUUGACAUUUAAUGCAGAGAAGCAAAGGACUCUAGAGUUACCUGAAAUGAUCUGCUCACCUGUUGAGGUCAUCUUCUAAAAUUAGUCUUUCAGUUCAGGACCUACAGUUCUUGCUUGUUUCACUGAACUACCACAGCUGCUAACCUUUGUCCAGGUCCUCCCCAUUUAGAAAAGCUAAAGGGGCUUUUAAAGUCAUAUUCCUAUUGGGAAUCUGAAGAAUCUCCAUCGGAUUGCAGAAAUAGAUUUUGUAAAUAAUUAUCACAAGGACUGAAAAAUGACAAAGCAGUCUUGAGAGAUAGACAAUUAUGGAGGGAAGAAAAAAACAUUAUUGUAACAAUGGAGGAAAAAGUAACCAUUAUUAUAUUUGAUGAAAGAUUAGUUUAUUGAAACAUAUGACACCUAGGAUAGGGAAAUAAGAAUAAAAAAACCCCCUUUAACUCUG